AUUGAACGCUGGCGGCAUGCCUUACACAUGCAAGUCGAACGGUAACGCGGGGGCAACCCUGGCGACGAGUGGCGAACGGGUGAGUAAUACAUCGGAACGUGUCCUGUUGUGGGGGAUAACCCAUCGAAAGGUGAGCUAAUACCGCAUGAUCUGGAGACAGCAAAGCAGGGGACCGGAAACGGCCUUGCGCGAUUGGAGCGGCCGAUGUCCGAUUAGCUAGUUGGCGGGGUAAAGGCCACCAAGGCAACGAUCGGUAGCUGGUCUGAGAGGAUGAUCAGCCACACUGGGACUGAGACACGGCCCAGACUCCUACGGGAGGCAGCAGUGGGGAAUUUUGGACAAUGGGGGCAACCCUGAUCCAGCCAUGCCGCGUGAGUGAAGAAGGCCU
rnacentral:rRNA from 1 species